rnacentral:rRNA from 1 species
CUACGGGUGGCACCAGUCAAGAAUAUUCCUCAAUGGCCGCAAGGCUGAAGGAGCGACGCCGCGUGCAUGAAGAAGCCCUUAGGGGUGCAAAAUGCUUUUAUCUGGGACGAACUAAUGACGGUACCAGAUGAAUAAGGGGCUGCUAACCUCGUGCCAGCAGCAGCGGUAAUACGAGGGCCCCGAGCGUUAUCCGGAUUUAUUGGGCGUAAAGCGUACGUAGGCGGUCUGAAGCAUCUUCUGUUAAAUCCUAAGGCUCAACCUUAGGACCGCGGGAGAUAUGAUCAGACUAGAGACCGGAAGAGGCAAGCGGAAUUGCUGGUGUAGGGGUUAAAUCCGUUAAUAUCAGCAGGAACACCAAAUGUGAAAACAGCUUGCUGGAACGGUUCUGACGCUAAGGUACGAAAGCGUGGGGAGCGAAUGGGAUUAGAUACCCGAGUAGUC